rnacentral:misc_RNA from 1 species
CCGAGUGUGAACCCCCCCAUAAAAAAGGGGGGUUACCUCCCGUCCUUUGCUGGGCACUCCCUUCCAAUCGGAUGGGGGUUGUUUUCAGACCCUUCUGCUUCAGCGGGGUAACCCGCCGGAACAACCUCAAAAUAUUCUAUUCAAAACCGUUCAGUCCGAGAACUUUUUGAAAAGCGAA